rnacentral:ncRNA from 2 species
GUGUACUAAGGUCUGUCUGGUCAGCCGGCGACGGCUGAUGCCGCGUUCCCAGCGAAGCCGGUGCGAAUCCGGCGCUGUCCCGCAACGGUGAUGGGGCCCCCGGGCCCCGAGCCCGGUCGCCUGAACGCGGCGGCAAUC